rnacentral:rRNA from 1 species
GGAAAAGGAUGUGGCGUUGCCCAGACAACUAGGAUGUUGGCUUAGAAGCAGCCAUCAUUUAAAGAGUGCGUAAUAGCUCACUAGUCGAGUGACACUGCGCCGAAAAUGUACCGGGGCUAAACAUAUUACCGAAGCUGUGGAUUGUCCUUUGGACAAUGGUAGGAGAGCGUUCUAAGGGCGUUGAAGCAUGAUCGUAAGGACAUGUGGAGCGCUUAGAAGUGAGAAUGCCGGUGUGAGUAGCGAAAGACGGGUGAGAAUCCCGUCCACCGAUUGACUAAGGUUUCCAGAGGAAGGCUCGUCCGCUCUGGGUUAGUCGGGUCCUAAGCUGAGGCCGACAGGCGUAGGCGAUGGAUAACAGGUUGAUAUUCCUGUACCACCUAUAAUCGUUUUAAUCGAUGGGGGGACGCAGUAGGAUAGGCGAAGCGUGCGAUUGGAUUGCACGUCUAAGCAGUAAGGCUGAGUAUUAGGCAAAUCCGGUACUCGUUAAGGCUGAGCUGUGAUGGGGAGAAGACAUUGUGUCUUCGAGUCGUUGAUUUCACACUGCCGAGAAAAGCCUCUAGAUAGAAAAUAGGUGCCCGUACCGCAAACCGACACAGGUAGUCAAGAUGAGAAUUCUAAGGUGAGCGAGCGAACUCUCGUUAAGGAACUCGGCAAAAUGACCCCGUAACUUCGGGAGAAGGGGUGCUCUUUAGGGUUAACGCCCAGAAGAGCCGCAGUGAAUAGGCCCAAGCGACUGUUUAUCAAAAACACAGGUCUCUGCUAAACCGUAAGGUGAUGUAUAGGGGCUGACGCCUGCCCGGUGCUGGAAGGUUAAGAGGAGUGGUUAGCUUCUGCGAAGCUACGAAUCGAAGCCCCAGUAAACGGCGGCCGUAACUAUAACGGUCCUAAGGUAGCGAAAUUCCUUGUCGGGUAAGUUCCGACCCGCACGAAAGGCGUAACGAUUUGGGCACUGUCUCAACGAGAGACUCGGUGAAAUCAUAGUACCUGUGAAGAUGCAGGUUACCCGCGACAGGACGGAAAGACCCCGUGGAGCUUUACUGUAGCCUGAUAUUGAAAUUCGGCACAGCUUGUACAGGAUAGGUAGGAGCCUUUGAAACGUGAGCGCUAGCUUACGUGGAGGCGCUGGUGGGAUACUACCCUAGCUGUGUUGGCUUUCUAACCCGCACCACUUAUCGUGGUGGGAGACAGUGUCA